GUAACCUGGGGAGGGAGAGAGAGAGGGGGUGAGGGGGGUGAGGGGGAAGCAGAGGAGAGAGGGAGGGAGAAGGAGAGAUAGAAGUGGAGAAAGAGAGAGAGGGAUAAAGAGAGAGGUCUACCAACUGGUCUCAUUCCUUCUACCUCCAGUCUCUCCAAAACUCCCAGCACUGUAUCCUCCCCUGCUCUCUUCACACGUCCAAACCAUCGGAGUCUUUCCCUUCUGAGAGCUGUUUCCAGGUCCUCUACUCCACAUCUGUAUCCUCCCCUGCUCUCUUCACAUGUCCAAACCAUCGGAGUCUUUCCCUUCUGAGCACUGUUUCCAGGUCCUCUGCUUCACAUCUGUAUCCUCCCCUGCUCUCUUCACAUGUGCAAACCAUCGGAGUCUUUCCCUUCUGAGCACUGUUUCCAGGUUCUCUACUCCACAUCUGUAUCCUCCCCUGCUCUCCUCACAUGUCCAAACCAUCGGAGUCUUUCCCUUCUGAGCACUGUUUCCAGGUCCUCUACUCCACAUCUGUAUCCUCCCCUGCUCUCUUCACAUGUCCAAACCAUCGGAGUCUUUCCCUUCUGAGCGCUGUUUCCAGGUCCUCUACUCCACAUCUGUAUCCUCCCCUGCUCUCUUUACAUGUCCAAACCAUCGGAGUCUUUCCCUUCUGAGCACUGUUUCCAGGUCCUCUACUCCACAUCUGUAUCCUCCCCUGCUCUCUUCACAUGUCCAAACCAUCGGAGUCUUUCCCUUCUGAGCGCUGUUUCCAGGUCCUCUACUCCACAUCUGUAUCCUCCCCUGCUCUCUUCACAUGUCCAAACCAUCGCAGUCUUUCCCUUCUGAGCGCUGUUUCCAGGUCCUCUACUCCACAUCUGUAUCCUCCCCUGCUCUCUUCACAUGUCCAAACCAUCGGAGUCUUUCCCUUCUGAGCGCUGUUUCCAGGUUCUCUACUCCACAUCUGUUAUCUCCUUCCUUCUACCUCCAAUCUCUCCACAACUCCCAGCACUGUAUACUCCUAUCACCAAUCA